GAUGAACGCUAGCUACAGGCUUAACACAUGCAAGUCGAGGGGUAGCACGUAGGAAGCUUGCUUCCUUGGGUGACGACCGGCGCACGGGUGAGUAACGCGUAUCCGUCCUACCCAUAACACGGGCACAGCCGAUCGAAAGAUCGAUUGAUUCUCGAUAUGUUAUAUAAGUAGAUUAUAUAAUGAAAGAUUCAUCGGUUAUGGACGGGGAUGCGUAAGAUUAGGUAGUAGGCGGGGUAACGGCCCACCUAGCCGACGAUCUUUAGGGGUUCUGAGAGGAAGGUCCACCACACUGGUACGGAGACACGGACCAGACUCCUACGGGAGGCAGCAGUGAGGAAUAUUGGUCAAUGGGCGGAAGCCUGAACCAGCCAAGUAGCGUGAAGGAUUACAGCCCUACGGGUUUUAAACUUCUUUUAUAUAAGAGUAAUGUGCACUACGUGUAGUGUAUUGCAAGUAUUAUAUGAAUAAGCAUCGGCUAACUCCGUGCCAGCCGCCGCGGUAAGAC
rnacentral:rRNA from 1 species